rnacentral:lncRNA from 1 species
UAUGGUUUUGGUACAAAUCUUAUAUGAUUUAUAGUUUAUAUGAAGGAGAUAUAGGUGCUCAAAGUUAAGGUGUUGAUUUGAGAGCUACUGCCACUAUUUUUGACAUAACGAACAUGUACAAAGGGCAAUUGAGGAUUGGCGACUGCGAUUGAAGAGAGCACUUUUGUGACUACACUUUUUGCAUAUUGGUUGCUGGAUUCUAAGUUAAAGUAAAGGAGAUAUUGGAUUUUGAAGUCAGUACAUACAAUCUAAGGGUAGUAAGUGACCCGAUUUACUAGUGGUUGUGUCUUGACCUACAUCUUGAGCAAUUUGAUA